AAAAUCCGUUGGCUUUAAAGACCGUGANGGUUCAAGUCCCUCUACCCCCA
rnacentral:tRNA from 3 species